AGGAGUUAGCUUGCGCGUUCAGAAAGUUGCUAGGCACCGCAGUCUAGCUAGCAACCGCCUGGACGUGAGUCACACUCGGGCUUAGUCAACCAUGAAGAUACGUUCAGGGAAACGAUGCCUAGUUAAUUGGGCGUCACCCCCUCUACUGCUGCGAGCGUCACCCUAGACAGUCGCUCAGUGAAGUCGCCAGCCCCCAGCGGCGGGCAGGGAGGUGAGAAACCAGCCGCGCGGCGGUGACUGAGGUGUCCCGGCGCCCGCUGCGUCCGGCGCGGAGCCUCACGCCACGGGACUCCCUGACGCUCGCACUGCUGAGGAGAAAUACCUGAAGAGGUAUGCACAGGCUUCACCCUGCACCAUGCUGCAGAGCCCUGCAGUCUCACCUUUUGUCUCCCUAGGAGGACAGUGCCUCCUCCCAACCCCGGCCUUUUUGGGAAUCCGAUACAGAGCAGCUGAGAAAUACAUUAUGUUGCUGAGGCUGAAGACGAUGCAUAGAAGCAUGGCUCC